AGAGUUUGAUCCUGGCUCAGAAUCAACGCUGGCGGCGCGCCUAACACAUGCAAGUCGAACGAGAAAGUGGAGCAAUCCAUGAGUAAAGUGGCGUACGGGUGAGUAACACGUGGAUCAUCUACCUUCUAGUGGGGAAUACCGUUGGGAAACCGACGACAAUACCGCAUAAGCUCGAGAGAGGAAAGCCGCAAGGCGCUGGAAGAGGAGUCCGCGGCUGAUUAGCUAGUUGGUGAGGUAAUGGCUCACCAAGGCUUAGAUCAGUAGCCGGCCUGAGAGGGCACACGGCCACACUGGCACUGAAACACGGGCCAGACUCCUACGGGAGGCAGCAGUGGGGAAUCUUGCACAAUGGGGGAAACCCUGAUGCAGCGACGCCGCGUGAGCGAUGAAGCCCUUCGGGGUGUAAAGCUCUUUCGGCAGGGAAGAUUAUGACGGUACCUGCAGAAGCAGCUGCGGCUAACUACGUGCCAGCAGCCGCGGUAAUACGUAGGCAGCAAGCGUUGUUCGGAGUUACUGGGCGUAAAGGGUGUGUAGGCGGUUGGAUAAGAGUGGUGUGAAAUCUCCCGGCUUAACUGGGAGGGUGCGCUACAGACUGUCUGACUAGAGUAUGGGAUGGGAGAGUGGAAUUCCUGGUGUAGCGGUGAAAUGCGUAGAUAUCAGGAGGAACACCGGUGGUGUAGACGGCUCUCUGGACCAUUACUGACGCUGAGACACGAAAGCGUGGGUAGCAAACAGGAUUAGAUACCCUAGUAGUCC
rnacentral:rRNA from 1 species